rnacentral:lncRNA from 1 species
GUAGUAAUACUUUUUUUAAGGUAUUACUUGGAUAAAAUCGAAAUGUAUUGCAUCAAGGUCCUGAUAAUAUCAAGCAGGGAAAGUCAUGGGUCCUUGUGUAGUGCUUCAUUACUGGUUACCUAAUUUGGGAUAAACAAUGUUAAGGUUCAAGGGUGAUUGAAGAUAAGAAAACUUUUGGCUUCUAGAGCUAUUUUGAGAUACCUAUGAGAUUACAAGAUAGCUUUGCCAAAAGGUUGUGUAGGAUUUUCAAAUUGUAGACCUAUCAUAAGACAACUAUGAGGUUUCGAGCAUGUAUUAAGUCUUAAUAAUGCUCUAAAACUACGGUAUUACAUCUAACUCUUAAGGUUUUAGUCUUUUUUUUCUUCUUAAUAUGAUGUUGCACUAAGGUAGAAAUUUCUUUUCCUAAAAUUUAGUUUAGU